rnacentral:rRNA from 1 species
AUUGAACGCUGGCGGCAUGCCUUACACAUGCAAGUCGAACGGCAGCACGGGUGCUUGCACCUGGUGGCGAGUGGCGAACGGGUGAGUAAUACAUCGGAACGUACCUUAUCGUGGGGGAUAACGCAGCGAAAGCUGUGCUAAUACCGCAUACGCCCUGAGGGGGAAAGCGGGGGAUCGAAAGACCUCGCGCGAUUAGAGCGGCCGAUGCCGGAUUAGCUUGUUGUUGGGGUAAAAGCCCACCAAGGCGACGAUCAGUAGCUGGGCUGAGAGGACGAUCAGGCACACUGGGACUGAGCCACGGCCCAGACUCCUACGGGAGGCAGCAGUGGGGAAUUUUGGACAAUGGGGGCAACCCUGAUCCAGCAAUGCCGCGUGAGUGAAGAAGGCCUUCGGGUUGUAAAGCUCUUUUGUCAGGGAAGAAACACCGGCUCUAACACAGUCCGGGAAUGACGGUACCUGAAGAAUAAGCACCGGCUAACUACGUGCCAGCCGCCGCCGUAA